AGUGCGCCACGGUCUCCGGCCGAGGUCCGAGUGAGGGAGCGAGCGAGCUGCGGAUCCCCGGGAGAACGGAGCCGUUCCGCAGGGCCCGACGGAAGAGAGGUGACAACCUGCCGCGGGGCUGAAGCCUGGAGGUCAGCGCUGGGGAGGAAGUCACACCCCGAGCACCACGAUCCCGGACGCACGACCCCCUGGCGGAACGGGUAGCGGUUCCGGAUUGGGAUCCGUGAGGCGCACGCACCCUGCUCGCCGGCGUGUCUGCUCCUUCUGCCUCAGUUUCCCGGGGGCGCCGUUCCACCGUACGCAGCGCGGAGCCAGCCCCAGGUUUUUUUCCAGUUGGAGCGGAAGCCCACCUGCCAGUCCCCGAGCGCUGUCGAUGCCAUCGCCAUCCUCCCUGGAGGUCUGCAGGGAUUGCCCCAUCCCUGUGGUUUUUUACUUUUUCCAGACAAGUUCUCAAGUAGCCCAGGGUGGCUUCCUGACUCUCCGGAGUAGCCGAGGGUAAUCAUAUACUUCUGAUCCCACCUGUACCUCCUGAGACCGGUUUUAAUGUGGUGCUGAGACUCGAACCCAUGGCUUCGCAGAUGCUAGGCAGACGCUCUGCGAGCCGAGCUCCACCCCCAGCCUCUUUGUCACUGCUUCCUCCUGCUCUCCAGUGCUUUCCAGUCAAGCACCUGUUGGGGAUACAGCCCACUCCUAAUCUUCCCCGUAAGAAGCAGUGCUAGUGUUUAAAACAAAACAACAAAAUACAGACGCUUACUGAAAUC
rnacentral:lncRNA from 1 species